rnacentral:rRNA from 1 species
UCCUGAGUAAGUCGGGACACGUGUAAUCCUGACCGAAUCCGCCGGGACCAUCCGGCAAGGCUAAAUACUCCUGAGAGACCGAUAGUGAACCAGUACCGUGAGGGAAAGGUGAAAAGCACUUCGAACAGAAGAGUGAAAUAGUCCCUGAACCCAUACGCCUACAAGCAGUCGGAGCCGCUUCGUGCGGUGACGGCGUGCCUUUUGCAUAAUGAGCCUACGAGUUACUCAUCACCAGCGAGGUUAAGUACUUCAGGUACGUAAGCCGAAGCGAAAGCGAGUCUGAAUAGGGCGUCAAGUUGGUGGUGGUAGACGCGAAACCUUAGUGAUCUACCCAUGGGCAGGGUGAAGGUUUGGUAACACAAACUGGAGGCCCGAACCGGUAAACGUUGAAAAGUUUUCGGAUGACCUGUGGGUAGGGGUGAAAGGCCAAUCAAACUGGGAAAUAGCUCGUACUCUCCGAAAUGCAUUUAGGUGCAGCCUCUGUUGUUUUGUUCUAGAGGUAGAGCUACUGAUUGGAUGCGAGGGCUUCACCGCCUAUCAAAUCCGGCCAAACUCCGAAUGCUAGAACAUGAAGACAGGGAGUGAGCCAGCGGGUGCUAAGGUCCGUUGACGAAAGAGGGAGAACUCAGACCAUCAGCUAAGGUCCCCAAUUGUAUGCUAAGUUGGAAUUAAAACGGGGUGGGACUGCUUAGACAGCUAGGAUGUUGGCUUGGAAGCAGCCAUUCAUUUAAAGAGUGCGUAACAGCUCACUAGUCGAGCGGUCCUGCAUGGAUAAUACGCGGGCAUAAGCAUAUAACCGAAGCUAUGGGAUUGUAGAUGAUACAAUCGGUAGGAGAGCAUUCCAUUCAGCGUAGAAGCAGUAUCGUGAGGUAUUGUGGAGCGGAUGGAAAAGCAAAUGUAGGCAUAAGUAACGAUAAUGCGGGUGAGAACCCCGCACGCCGAAAGAUCAAGGAUUCCCCGGCAAUGUCAAUCAUCCGGGGGUAAGUCGGAUCCUAAGGGUAAGCCGAGUGGCGAUCCCGAUGGCAAACAGGUUAAUAUUCCUGUACUGAUCAUAACUGCGAUGCAGCGACGCAGAGGUGACACUGCUGCGUACUGACGGAAUAGUACGUUGAAACCCGUAUUCUUUGAUACCGGUAGUGAAGCACGCCGGUAGAGAUGAAAGGUGAUAGUACCGCAAUGCUUCGGUUGCGCGGAUAACGCAGGUAAGCUGACUGCCAAGAAAACCUGCUAAGCUUCAGGUAAUGAUCAUCCGUACUGUAAACGGACACACGUGAUCAGGUAGAAAAUACUAAGGCGCUCGAGAGAUUCAUGGUUAAGGAACUAGGCAAAAUGGUCCUGUAACUUCGGGAUAAAGGACGCUCUUGUGAAAGAGCCGCAGAUAAUAGGCCCAGGCGACUGUUUACCAAAAACACAUGGCUAUGCUAAUUCGCAAGAAGAUGUAUAUGGCCUGACACCUGCCCGGUGCCGGAAGGUUAAGAGGAGAGCUCAGAGGCAACUCGAAGGUUUGAAUUGAAGCCCCGGUAAACGGCGGCCGUAACUAUAACGGUCCUAAGGUAGCGAAAUUCCUUGUCGGGUAAGUUCCGACCUGCACGAAUGG